AAUAAGUUGGGUCAUGAGAAUGGAAGUUGAGUCAUGUUGAUACUAGAUCCAUGUCUUGAUUAUUCUACUUUUCCAUUCCAAUGCACGAUACUAUGGAUUCCAUUCCAAAGAUUCAUUACUAUGAUUUUUUUUAUAUUUAAUUGAAUUGAACUUCCGAGAUCUGGAAUAGGUGGAUAUGUUGCAGAGGAAACGUACAAGGUAUAUAUACUUUUUAGUUAGAUAAUUCCUCAAUGACCAGGUGGUUGCACCAUGUAAAACCGAUUAGAGAUCAGAGGAUACAGAUCUAGUUCCUUGCUUAGAAGAGGCAGAGCGGAGUUUGGAUAGUCAUGAGGUAUGUCGAGGAAUGAUGGUGAUUACACAAAUAGAUAAUUCAUGUGUUACGAAAUGAAAGAGGCUGAUAGUAAAACAAUCAAUAAUAACUAGUACCUUGCUCUAAGAGGCUGAGAUGAGUAGGGUGCAACAUCCUACUAUUGAUGAUCUUACCUUCCGUGGAAGGUAUUCCCGCGGAGAGAAAUCUUUAAUUGAACUUAUCAUCCUGCCUGUCUUCUACUUCUCCUCCUCCGCUUAUUGAUAUUACAAUCGUAUCUUAUGCAUUCUCUCCUGACGACUCGACUUCGGCUGAAGGCCCCAAGAGGGAGAGUAUCAUUAUUGAGUUGACUAACUCCAACCUCGGUAUAAAAUUCUUUAUCAGCGGGUUCGCUUUUCCAGAAUAGAAAUUUGUAUGAUAGAUCUACGGCGGAGCCGUUUACCAAUGUGGAAGUAGUAAGUUUUGACUGACCCAAUACAGCACCCUUGCUACUACUAUUAUCCCUCUUUUUUCAUGUAUCGGCUCGGGGUAUCGAAAAGCAAAAGUUCUAUCUCCCCUGUCCAUAGAUUUAAGGAUAGCGAGGCAUACCAAUGCCAUGCCAACAAGAGGAACCAUCUGGACUUAAAACAGCCGACCUACCCCCUGCCACUUCUUCCUCUAAGUCAAGUUGAUAGAUUUCUGUACGAGUUUUCAAGUGCCAUCUCCAGUCUAAGCGGUUGAGUUCAGUGAUUGUAUCGAACAAAAGCCCCCUCCCGGGGCAGGUACGCGAUUGUCUCUCUUCCAAAGUGUGAUCAUCUUCUCCAGUCUCCCGUUUCCACCUAUUUUAAAUGGUCAGCCUGUGAAGCAUCAAUUGAAUUUGAAUUCUAAAAUAAAGUAGACUUCGGUGAAGGAACCUAUUCUCUGGUAUCUGCUUCGGCCAUCUCAUCUGGUUUCGGCCUUCUUUGUGAGCAGCUCCUAACUCGCUCGACGGGGUAUGAUCACUACUGUUGAUAGGUCGAUCGGAAAAGAAUAAGUUCUAGGACUGAACAGAAAGAGAGUACUCUAACACUUUCUUCGCCAUUCUUUUCUAUGAGGAGCUCUAUUUUGCUAAUACAAAUGUAAUGCUACCUCCCUACGGCGAUUCAUAACUAGAAGAACUCGUUGGCACAACCAGACCUUAUUAAAGGCCUCGGCUGUCUGAUCGACUGAAAGAUCUUAUCUUGGAGUUCUAGUAUGGGUCGUCGGCCCUUUCUCCUCCUCAGUAGGUGCAAACCCAGGUUCUGUAAAUGAUUAUAACUGCCUUGGAGCUAGAUAAGCAAACCUUCUUCUGUUUGAGUAUGAUGGAUGUUACACCCACUGCCAGAUACAAGCAAAAGCUUUCCAGCUAAGCUAGGAGUCAGAACGAACUCAUGAAGCUAUCCUUCUUCUUGGAUCUCAAGAUUCAAAUGGAAUUUUAUCACCCCGGAUUUUGGCUUUAAUUUUCACUUUAUACUUGAGUUAAGCAAGGCACCAGCAUGGGAGAGAAGAUAGCCCCUCGGGACCGCUUACUAGCCGGCCUGCUUGAUUUAUUUACGAGGUAUCCAGAUGGCACUGCACCGGCGAGGGAAAGGGAAGCUGAUGAGAGGUAAGGGAAAAGUCCAUUUAAUGAAUAGGUUCACUACAGACUGUACUAUCUCUAGACCCCCUCUCUAUACUCCCUCAUAAUAUAUGGAUCCCCCCGAUAAUAUUGAUCCUCCAACAGCUGACAUAUCUUAUCUAAACUCCCGGAAACCUGGGCAUGGCUUUUUCGAACUUAGUUGAUUUCGCAAGAAGCAACUUGAAAAGCACAAAGACUACAUCUAAACAAACCUUACGUCUUCGUUCGGCUCAUUCUUGCUUAUCUCACCCUAUUUCCUUACUUUAGCUUAGAAG
rnacentral:lncRNA from 1 species